AGCCUGCGCUCGUUGAGUUACGAGGCACCGCCGCCGCGGAGGCUGGGCCGGUCUGUAGUGGGUGUGCGCGAGGCUCGGCCCGGACCACGCCCAAGGCGAAGCUUCGACGACCACGACGCGCCGCCGGACCGGGGGGGCGCCAGGAGAGCGCCAGUUUGCGGUUGGCCGAACUAGGGGGCCCGGCCACCACGCCCGGCGGCCCCACCCCGCCUCGCCACGCACCUCCACCCGCCGGGCGCGCGUCCUUGUUUGAUUGUGAAGUGUUAUAAAAGCCGACGCCGGCCGGCACUGGGCAUCAGUCCUCCAGACCGAACACCAACCGCCACCAUGUACAAGUCCCUGCUCCUCGUCUUCGCCGUCCUGGCCGUGGCCUCGGCCCAGUACCUGGCAUCGCCCUAUGUCAGCACCGUCGGCGCCUACCCCGCUGCCUACUCUGGCUACUCCGCCUACUCCGCCUACCCCGCCUACUCUGGAGUCAGCGCCUAUGGCGCGUACCCCUACGCCUACUCCGGUCUCGGCUACGGCUCCUCUUACCUCUACCGUUAAGACAAAUUGACGCUGCAGACGCCAAUGUCCACAUCGGUGAGCGCGCUGUCCCAGCCCUGUGCGAGAUCGGCGUGCCCUUCAACAAAUGUUUCGGUCUCAUCAUGCAAAUCUCAAAAAUAAACAGUUUACCAUCUUAAA